UACGUAGGUGGCAAGCGUUGUCCGGAUUUAUUGGGUUUAAAGGGUGCGUAGGUGGUCUAUUAAGUCAGUGCUGAAAUAUCCCGGCUUAACCGGGAGGGUGGCAUUGAUACUGAUGGACUUGAGUAAAGUUGAGGUAGGCGGAAUUGACGGUGUAGCGGUGAAAUGCGUAGAUAUCGUAAGGAAGACCAGUGGCGAAGGCGGGUCUCUGGACAGUUCCUGACGCUGAGGCACGAAGGUCAGGGGAGCAAACGGG
rnacentral:rRNA from 1 species